UGGGGAAUCUUAGACAAUGGGGGCAACCCUGAUCUAGCCAUGCCGCGUGAGUGAUGAAGGCCUUAGGGUCGUAAAGCUCUUUCGCCGGGGAAGAUAAUGACGGUACCCGGUAAAGAAACCCCGGCUAACUCCGUGCCAGCAGCCGCGGUAAUACGGAGGGGGUUAGCGUUGUUCGGAAUUACUGGGCGUAAAGCGCGCGUAGGCGGAUCGGAAAGUUGGGGGUGAAAUCCCGGGGCUCAACCCCGGAAUUGCCUUCAAAACUCCCGGUCUUGAGGUCGAGAGAGGUGAGUGGAAUUCCGAGUGUAGAGGUGAAAUUCGUAGAUAUUCGGAGGAACACCAGUGGCGAAGGCGGCUCACUGGCUCGAUACUGACGCUGAGGUGCGAAAGCGUGGGGAGCAAACAGG
rnacentral:rRNA from 1 species